UCGUGAGCUUUUGACUUGAGCAUCUUGCUGCUCGAGCUCGACUUAAAAAAUUAAUCGAGCUUGACUCGAGCUUGAUAAUAACUAAGUCGAGUCGAGCUUGGACUCGAUUCAAGCUCGGACUCAAGUCGAACUCGAGUAGCUUGCAAGCAGCUCAACUCAUUUGCACCCCUAGGUACAAUAAUAUCUUCCACUAUUAUAUUGUCUACUAGAAUCAAUACAUCACCAUCAUC
rnacentral:lncRNA from 1 species